rnacentral:rRNA from 1 species
CGGCGCACGGGUGCGUAACGCGUAUGCAACCUGCCUUAUACAGAGGGAUAGCCCAUGGAAACGUGGAUUAAUAUCUUAUAGGACUUAAGAAUCGCAUGGUUUUUAAGUUAAAACUACGGUGGUAUAAGAUGGGCAUGCGUCUGAUUAGGUAGUUGGUAGGGUAACGGCCUACCAAGCCGACGAUCAGUAGGGGUUCUGAGAGGAUUACCCCCCACACUGGUACUGAGACACGGACCAGACUCCUACGGGAGGCAGCAGUGAGGAAUAUUGGUCAAUGGGCGAGAGCCUGAACCAGCCAUCCCGCGUGCAGGAUGACGGCCCUAUGGGUUGUAAACUGCUUUUCUGCUCCAAGAAACCCUGUUACGUGUAGCAGGUUGACGGUAGAGUAGGAAUAAGCAUCGGCUAACUCCGUGCCAGCAGCCGCGGUAAUACGGAGGAUGCAAGCGUUAUCCGGACUCAUUGGGUUUAAAGGGUGCGCAGGUGGGAAUGUAAGUCAGUGGUGAAAUACUGCCGCUUAACGGUAGAGCUGCCAUUGAUACUGCGUUUCUUGAGUAUGGUUGAGGUAGGUGGAAUGUGUUGUGUAGCGGUGAAAUGCAUAGAUAUGACACAGAACGCCGAUUGCGAAGGCAACUUACUAAGCCAUUACUGACGCUGAGGCACGAAAGCGUGGGUAGCGAACAGGAUUAGAUACCCUGGUAGUCCACGCUGUAAACGAUGUUCACUCGCUGUCGGCGAUACACAGUCGGCGGCUGAGCGAAAGCAUUAAGUGAACCACCUGGGGAGUACGAUCGCAAGGUUGAAACUCAAAGGAAUUGACGGGGGCCCGCACAAGCGGAGGAACAUGUGGUUUAAUUCGAUGAUACGCGAGGAACCUUACCUGGGCUUAAAUG